rnacentral:rRNA from 1 species
GAUCCUGGGGCUCGAGAACGAACGCUUAGGCGGCAGGCUUAACACAUGCAAGUUGAACGGGAUUUGUGUGGUGCUUGCACCAUAUAAUGAGAGUAGCGCACUGGUGAGUAACACGUGGGAACGUGCCUUUUAGUGGGGGAUAACAUCUGGAAACGGAUGCUAAUACCGCAUACGCCCUGAGGGGGAAAGAUUUAUUGCUAAGAGGUCGGCCCGCGGUAGAUUAGGCAGUUGGUGGGGUAAAGGCCUACCAAACCUACG